rnacentral:misc_RNA from 1 species
AAUUCUCAACCCCUCUCGAUUUGCUUCGAGGGGGAGCUUGGAUAGUGGGGGCUGCCAGAGACCUGGACUUGCGUCGAGGACUUGGGCUCUCCUGAAAUGCAUUCGGCUUGCGAUCGACUUUCGACUUUGCGCGACAAGGCUUUCGGUGUGAUAAUGAUCGCCGUCUUCCGAAGCGCAUGAAGGGAAGGUCUCAUGCCUCCAACAUGUCGACGGCGACGUCUUCCUUCUUUAU